rnacentral:misc_RNA from 1 species
AAGUCGUAACAAGCCUUCCGUGGGUGAACCUGCGGAAGGAUCAUUAACACGUAUCCCACGUUAAAACCCCGGUGAACCUCCAGCCCUAUUCUGGUGCGCCCGUUCGGACAGCAAUCCCUAGUAAAUCAUUGUUGAACAGAGUUUGAUUUAGGGACCUCUGUAGGGAAGGACUGCGGUGUGCGUGCAAUUGAGUGGUAGCGCAAUCAUCCUGGUGCCUUUUAGACUGUUAUCAUGUGGAAGUGACCAUAACGUUACCGUGUGUCAGCGACGGUAACCUGUCAACGAGGUGACUCCGAAACACGUUUGCUAGAGGUCCACACGACCGGCCACCCCUCGCAAGAAUUUAGCGUGCACCUAACGGUCGUACCACCCACAAACUGAACAACUGUUAACAAUGGAUAUCUUGGUUCUC